rnacentral:rRNA from 1 species
GAACGCUGGCGGUAUGCUUUACACAUGCAAGUCGUACGAGAGUUUUUAACUCAAGUGGCGGACGGGUGAGUAACACGUAAGAAUUUACCUUUAGGAGGGGGAUAACCACUGUAAUGGUUGCUAAUACCCCAUAUGCUUUCGAGUGAAAUGGAUUUUCCGCCUAGAGAGAAGCUUGCGGCUGAUUAGCUUGUUGGUGAGGUAAUGGCUUACCAAGGCGACGAUCAGUAUCUGGUUUGAGAGGAUGAUCAGACACACUGGAACUGAGACACGGUCCAGACUCUUACGGGAGACAGCAGUGGGGAAUUUUCCGCAAUGGGCGAAAGCCUGACGGAGCAAUACCGCGUGAGGGAUGACGGCCUAUGGGUUGUAAACCUCUUUUUUCAGGGAGGAAUCAAUGACGUGUACCUGAAGAAUAAGCAUCGGCUAACUCCGUGCCAGCAGCCGCGGUAAG